ACAUAACUCACCCAACAGAUGAAAUCUACUUCAGGGUCUAAUGCUGGAAAAAUGCCAUCACUGGAGUAUCCUGAAACACGCAGUCACAGGUGAAGAUGCUUUGAGGUCAGGAAGCCUCUUCUCACUCUUCUUUGUGCCAUUCAACAGUCACAGGUGAAGAUGCUUUAAGGUCAGGACUGUGGCUGUGAAGUGGCAUGGGGAUUAUGAAGAUCAUUUUGAGGCAGUUUAUCCAACGCUCUGCUCUCCUUCCCUGUUUUUCCCCAAAGUGUUCAUGGGUGAUGCAGAAGGUUGCAAGAAGCCACUCUUGGAGGCUACUUCAGAUUAAACUUCUUCACAUGGGACAGCAUUAUUCCUUGUGAAUUUUAGUGACCUCUUCUAAACAUGUCCUUUUUACUCUAUGCAAAAUUUCUGCAGGAGAAUAAUACCCAGCACCAGCUAACCAAAAAGAACAAAUUGAUGUGGUUGUACAACUUGAAAACACUGCAGUAACCUACUGAAAGUGCAGCUCUGCCUCCUGGAUCUCAGCAGAAGCAUAGGAUGCUGAGAGCAGAGUAGGCAUUGCUACAGCACCCAGUUCCAAAGAUGCUGUGGGUCUACAUUUGGACACCAGGCUACUGCAUACUGCCCAUGGAGCAGAGCACUAAAUCGGGGUUGUAAAGAGUCAGUAAUGGAGCCAGAAGAUAUCUGGAUCUGACCAGGAGGAAAACCAAAGUAUGGAGCCAUCUUAAGAUCAUAUAUAUUUGGAUGCUUGUGUGGCCCCUCUCUGAGGGUGCCAGCAUUUCUCUUUCCCUUUAGGAUCUUCAGCCUGAGACUGUAGAGCUUUGUCUGCUGCACUUUUCAGUGUGCUUACUGAUCACUUUAUUUUUCAAAGCUGCAGCUGGAAAAAAGUGGAAGCAAAGCAGAUUUUCAGUUUCUUAGAAAUACUCUGGCAAUGAGCACUUGCCCAGAGAGCAGAGCCCUUUGCUCAAAUCCUUCAGCACAGUAAGGCUCACACUGCCCCAAGUGCCUUAGAUUUAAGUGCCAACACUCCAACCAGCCUUGCAGCAAAACCUUACCCCAACAUCUGACCCAACCAUCCCUGCCCUGUUGAGAUUUGUUUUCCAGCAUGACUAAACAUCUAAAAAGGUCACCAGCUUAGAAAUCUCUAUCAUCUCUGAACUCCUAGCACAGGAGUACUCCCAAAACCUUUUUGCUGUCCAAACUGCCCCUGUUAAUACAGAAUUCAGAGUUUUACUGAAUGCUUUCUUUCCUGCAAAAAAACAGUUGUAAGGCAGCCUUUCUGUAAGGCAGAUCAGGCUGCCUUUGCACAUAGGACAGAGAAUCUGGCAAGAAGGGUUUUGAAACCCCUGCCUGUGCUCUGGCCAGCUCUGAAGGGGUGGUCAGCAGCACUCAGAUUCACUAUGGAUGACAGAAAUCAUUGUCACCUGCUUUGAAGCAGAUGAAAAGAGAUAGAUUGGUUAAACUCCUGCAGCUGUGCCUCUGGUGAGCGCCUUCAGGGAGCAGCAGUCCUGGGCACCCACAUGUUCCUCGUAUCUCUGGUGGCUGGAAAAGCUAAGGAUCCAAGGGGAAGAAAAGGUCCCAGUGUAAAAACAGAAGUAUUACUCCACAUUUGGAAAGCCUUCUUGCUCCAAGCAGUGACACGGUGGUCACAGGUGCCCUGCAGAGGAUAUGACAGGGGCAUCCAGCCCAAGACUGUGAGUCUUCAGCCCAGAGUCACAUCAUGGAGAACUGGUUUAAGUACAGUGAUGAGACAUGAAGAUUUAACACAGUUACAGCCUCCAUUACCUGGCAACAAACUCUCAUCACCACAUCCUCCCUGUCUUUCAGACUGCUUCUAAUCCUGCCCCAAGUGUUCACAUGAGACUUCCCUCCCUGCUCCUAGCACUUAUGUUCUGAUGUUCCAGUAAACAAAGCGAUAACAAUAGCAGAGAUUCCUUAGGAUUACCAUAAUAGAGAUUUUUAUUUUGAGAGAGUUGGCAGUUACCUGCCUUUGCCCUUUUCCAUACAUUAAAUAUUAAAACCCCAGCCAAUGCAAUGCAAAAUUUAAAAGGCCUCCAAUCCAGGCAGUUACACUCCAGUGAUCAGGAAAUCCCAGCAAACUCCUGAACUUCUCACCCACCAUUAUGUUCAGAGAGCA